UCGGGAAUUUUGUCCAAUGGGCGCAAGCCUGAGACAGCAACGCCGCGUGAGGGAUGAAGGCCUUCGGGUCGUAAACCUCUGUCAGGAGGGAAGAAAGCUUCAUUGCAAAUAACGAUGAAAUCUGACGGUACCUCCAAAGGAAGCGCCGGCUAACUCCGUGCCAGCAGCCGCGGUAAUACGGAGGGCGCAAGCGUUGUUCGGAAUCAUUGGGCGUAAAGAGGGUGCAGGCGGUGGAGUAAGUCAAAUGUGAAAUCCCGGGGCCAACCCCGGAACUGCAUUCGAUACUGCUCUACUAGAGUCUCGGAGAGGAAGGCGGAAUUCCCGGUGUAGAGGUGAAAUUCGUAGAUAUCGGGAGGAACACCAGUGGCGAAGGCGGCCUUCUGGACGAUGACUGACGCUCAGACCCGAAAGCGUGGGUAGCAAACAGGAUUAGAUACCCUGGUAGUCCACGCCGUAAACGGUGAGUGCUCGUCGGUGCGGGUAUUGACCCCUGCGCUGACCAAGCUAACG
rnacentral:rRNA from 1 species